rnacentral:snoRNA from 1 species
UUCAAGAUACUUUAUAAGAUCAGUUCUGUAGGAGUUGAUCUCAUUCUCCUUUUCUAACAUGGAAGUUGAUGUAACCAGGAUGAGAAGCGAGAGCCCACUUCCUUCAGCGUGAGAACGACACGAGUUCUUGACCUGUUCAAGAUCUCUGUCAUCGAUGAUCGUUUAUCUUUUGCACUCAAUACAAGGGUAAUGGAACGAAGGGCUUUCUGCGCGGU